rnacentral:tRNA from 1 species
GCCCAGGUGGUGAAAUUGGUAGACACGCUACUUUGAGGUGGUAGUGGCGCAAGCUAUGGAGGUUCAAAUCCUCUCCUGGGCA